AGCUGGGAGAAGACACAAUGGAAAGAGAAGACAACAGGAACAGCCCGAUUAGUUACCGCAGAAGAGCUGGAAAGGCAUAAAAGGUGAAGACUACAUAUUUGCCCAAUGGUGAAUAUUCCCAUGGAAGACGCUGCACGUUGAUAACUUUCCAUUGCACUGACUGGAUGUUCAGUUGGACAACUCUCGUCAACUCUUCAGGAACUGGUUGAGGCAUUUUUUGAUUUCUGAAUACCAUACAGAUUUGCUGUGAGCCACAACACAAGGAGCAUCUUGUGCUCUUUGAGCCUGAUGAGUUUUAUGCACUUCCAGGAGCGGAUGUCAACAAACAAGCCAUAGUUUUAGACCUGGGCACCUAAAUUCUCACUUAUGUCCUACACAGAGUCAUGAAUCUUGCGACUUGCAGCAGCGGUCUUCAAACUGCCCAAACCAGAGUUUGUACCUCCCACUUAUUCAAGCAAUUGUGAAAGAAUGUCAGCUUUUGAGAAGACACCUCCAACCCCUGGAUGGCAGAAAAUUGACCUACUGUUUGUUGUCCUUGCUGAUGCAGCAUCAAGAGACAGUAGCACACCAUGAAAACCACAUUCCUCCGAUCUACUGAAUGCAGCCGCAAUGGGAAAGUUUAGAGGGAGACGACCCUCCCGUGAUGCAGGGAGAACACAGUGAGGACAAACAGCUCUGAGACAGCAAGGGUGGGUAAAGCAGUUGUGUAAUUCACUGUGGAGCCUAAGACAAGGGGCGGGGGGGAAAAUAAAGGUAAAAAUAGAAAAUUUAACUAAGUGUAUAAAUUUGGAGGAACUCCCAACUCCAAGACUGGCACAUUAUAACAGAACAAGGUCUACGUGCACAAUGGGGAAUAAAAGACACACAAUAGCGAUUUUAAAACCUUAAUUUUUAUUGUAUUAUGUGGUUUUUCUCUUUGGUUUUAGCUUUUUUUUUUUUUUUUAAUUUACUGCAUUGGAUUUAUGACUGAAAUAUGUGUAUACUAUCUAAUAUGCUGCUUCUCUUAACACA